GGAAAAGUGAUGCGAAAUAUAAAUACUUGUGAAAACUGGUUAAAAAAAAAAGAAACCCUAAGCGCCGUUGUCUCUCUGUCUCUCUCUCGCGGGUGGGCGAUUUCUGGUGUUUUCUUCACACCGUUUCCAGUGAUUUCUUCAAGCAGAUGAUCUGAGCCGAUACCAUCCUUUCCCAUCCGUCAACAAUCUCCAUCUUUUCUCCCUUCAUCUCGUCACUUCCGUUCCUCGCAUCCUCCUGUCCAGAGUCUCACGAGGGAGUUCGGCGGUGUUCAAGCUCGAGGGAGAAGAUGGAGUCGCGGGAGAGAAGAUAGAUUUGGUUCAGAGACGAGGGAGGAGAUGGAGUUGGAUUCAAAGAUAAGUCUCUUACCUCUUUCUCAGAUUUAGUUUUAUUUCUGAUUUAAUGUAUUGAUUAUGGAGGAAACCACAGUAUUUGGUCUAUGGGCUGGAAAAGGGACAAUUUGUUGCAGAAAUUGUAGCGAUUUCGGCAGUUCAACAUGGAGCUAUGAGGCAACAUGGAACUCUCACUUGGGAGGCAAGGAUGAAGAUCCUUAUCGGCACUGCACAAGCCAAUAGAACCAAAAGUGGUCCACAGAGAUAUAAAAGCAAGCAAUAUAUUAAUAGAUGAUGAGUUUAAUGCAAAGCUCUCUGACUUUGGGUUAGCCAAGCUCUUGGACUCUGGUGAGAGUCACAUCACUACCAGAGUCAUGGGAACCUUUGGAUAUGUAGCGCCAGAAUAUGCUAACUCAGGCCUGUUAAACGAAAAGAGUGAUAUAUACAGCUUUGGUGUUUUGCUUCUUGAAGCUGUAACUCGACGAGAUUCGGUUGAUUAUGGACGUCCUGCUAAUGAGGUUACACAGGUACGCCUCUUGGGUGCCGUCUCGCGUACCGGGUUCGGCAGGGGGACGGGUACGUCUCGGGUACGCCUAGGAAACGUUCCCGACUCAUGUAAGGUGAACCAGGGACGGCAUGGCUUAAGGGGGACGGGUUUGGUCAGAGAUGGGAGACGUCUCAGAGACGUAUCCGUUGAUUUUUGUGUUAAGAAAAAAUUGUUUAUCAAAUAUUAAUAGUCUCUUUCACUUCCACAUUGUUCUCUUCAAUUCUCCUACUUAUAUGUCUUUCUCUUUUGACUCUCAACUAUAUCUCACGUAAGCAUGUUUCUUCUU